AUGGAGGACAGCCGUCAGUCAUCCAGUUUUGUAUCACUGUGGUACACGUUCGGUGGAGGAACCAGACUGGAGGUUAACUUGGGUCGAGUUGUCCCCACCCUGACGGUGCUGCCCCCCUCUAGCCAGGAGCUGGACCAGGGCAAGGCCACGCUCAUGUGUCUGGCCAACAAGGGCUUCCCCUCAGACUGGAGUCUGACCUGGAAGGUGGACGGCAGCAGCAGCAGCUUGGAGCAGAGCAGGAGCCCCGCGGUGCUGCGGAAGGACGGCCACUACAGCUGGAGCAGCACCCUGAGGCUCACUGCAGACCAGUGGAGGAAGGUGGGCUCUGUGACCUGUGAGGCCACCCAGGGCUCCCAGACUCCACUCUCAGAGACACUGAGGAGAGAUCAGUGUUCCCAGUCCUGAUCUGACUCACUGGGACUCUGCUACUGGUUUUACUCUGCUACUGCUCUCACUCUGAUCUCUGCUACUAUUUCUCCUUGUGUUCCUUUCUCAAGACGUGUUUCAACAUUAAUGUCUUCAUGCUUGUUGUAUUGUUAACAUUUUAAAACAAUAAAUAUUACAUUAAAUCAGCA